GAAAAACCACCGUUGUAUUCAACUAUAGAAAC
rnacentral:tRNA from 2 species